UACAGAGACUGCAAGCGUUAUUCGGAUUCACUGGGCGUAAAGGGUGCGCAGGCGGCCGUGUGUGUGAGGCGUGAAAGCCCGGGGCUUAACCCCGGAAUUGCACCUCAAACUACACGGCUAGAGCAUUGGAGAGGGUAGCAGAAUUCACGGUGUAGCAGUGAAAUGCGUAGAUAUCGGAAAGAACAUCAGUGGCGAAGGCGGCCUCCUGGACCAAUACUGACACUUAGGUGCGAAAGCGUGGGGAGCAAACAGG
rnacentral:rRNA from 1 species